AGGAAGUUUCUCCCCAAAGUGUCGCGAGCUGGAGGAAGGACUUGGGUUCUUCUGUGGUUGACAGUUCGUGGGUGUAGGGUCCAGGCUAGGGAAAGGAGACCACCUAAAUCCGUCCUACCCUGUUUGGCUGCUAACCUGGAAACAAGAAAAGGGGGAGAGAAAGGUAAAGGACACCGAGCCAUUUUAGGUUGAAGAGGCCCAGAAACAUGGAGCCAAGCAAUUAUGGGCUGAAAUAUCAGAACUGCUAUGAUAAUAAUGAAGACUUUGCUCGGCUCUGUGUCAGCUAAAAGGCUAAGAAGAGAAACUGAAAUUAUACUCUCUUGUGCUUCGUCUCGAGUGGGGGAUAUUCACACAACUGGAGCUGGAAGAAGUGGGCUCUCAGUAUGGCAUGUAGCCCCGACUAUCAAGAAUCCACCCUGAAGCUAAGGCUGCCCUGAAAUUCCUGAUACUACUACUUCCACUACCCAACUUGUGGAAUCACAGGCAAGCUUGGGAUUUUCAGGAUCUUUGAGAGAGAUGGUUUUUUUUUCAGGCAGCCUUGGAGUAACUUCAGGAGAGUUCAGCAAACCUACCAACAGAUCAUUGUAAACAUGUAAUUCAACCUUGACCUAAGAGUCUUUUCAGAUGUCCUAUGAAUAAACUCAGAAGAUUCAGAUGGCUCUUAUUAGGCAUAUUCAAAAAUACUAGUAAAGAGCCUGACUUGACUGUCAACCCUAGCACCAAUUCCAGAAAAAGAAUCUUGGGAGAUCAGAGAUCAGUCUCUAUAGGAGAAGAGGAGGCUGGAUAUUGUUGACCAAAUAGAAAGAAAGGUUGGAAAACUUGACAUAGUUCCUAAGCAUCAGAUUUUCCCAGCAUGAAAAAAAAAAGAAAUUAGAAUCUUCUCACACUAAAAAUGCAAAUUCAUUCAAUAUGGGUAAAAAUAUAAGGCACAAAAUCCUAAGACUACUAGAAAAUAAGAACACAAACAGGUUCUUGACAUUGAUCUAAUAAUUUUUAUUAUGAUCCCCAAAGUAUAGGCAACUCAAGAAGAAAAGUAGACAGAAUUACAUGGAACUGAAAAGUAUCUUUAUAACAAUGAAUUAAUGGAAGAAAUGAGAGAAGAUAUUUGUGAACAAUACUCAAAUACCCGAAGUCCAUAUGGAACUCAACUUAAUAGCACUAGAAACAACUGUACUUGUUUUUCAAGAAAUAAACAGAUUAUGUUUCUGAAUAUACAUUUUCAAAAGAAUGUAUAGAGUUUGGCACAGGGUCAAUGACUAACCCUAGUACUCAGGAUGUGAAGGCAAAAUGAUCUCCAAUCAAGUUUCAGGCCAGCAUGUACUACAUCAUGAGACUACCUCAAAAGAAAAGAGAGAAAACAACAAAACCCACAAGCAAAAUGAACAAAUACAAAUAGCCAAAAGGCAGAUAAAAAAAAUUGUCAGCUCCACUAAUUCCUAGGAGAAGGUUAACUAAAACCCUACUAAGUUAUUACUUCACACUGUUCAAAUUGCUAUUACCAAAAGACAAAGACAACAGGUGUUGAUGAGAAUGUGAAAAAAAAGAGAGCCCCUGAGCAAUGUUUGUGAGAAUUAAAUUAGUAUGGCUGUUUGGAAAAUAGCAUAAAAGUAUACUAAGAUAUUAAAAAUAAUCUACCAUAUUACACAUGACUUAUUCUUCUGGGUUUAAACAAAAUCUCUUGUAGAUAUACAAAAGGAAAUGAAUAUGCUGAAGAGGUGUCUAUUUCACUGAAACACUAAUUUUAAAAUAGCUAAGAUACAGAAUCAGUCUGAAUGUCUAAAGCGGGAUCAAUACCUAAGGAAAAAUUAUGAUAAUUUUAAUGUAGGAUUUUAAUACUGGGUUUUGUUAUGUAAUUUAGGCUGGCCAUUGUGGUUGUCUGAAAGAAAAUGGCCCCCAAAGGGAAUGGCACUAUUAGGAGGCCUUGUUGGAGGAAGUGUGUCACUGUGUCACUGUGGGGUUGGGCUUCGAGGUCUCUUUUUCUCAAGCUUCCCUCAGUGAGACAGUCAAUCAACUUCCUGUUGGCUGCAAGAUGUAGCACUCUGGGCUCCAGCACCACACUGCCAUGCUCCCCUUCAUGAUCAUAAUGGACUGAACUUCUGAGAUUGUAAGCAAGCCACCCUCAAUUAAAUGUUUUCUUUAUAAGAAUUGCUGUGGUCAUGGUGUUUCUUCAUAGCAAUAGUAAACCCUGACUAAGACAGCCAUGAAAAUGGCUGCCUCUGAUUCUUGUGUGCUGGGAUUACAGGGGUAUACUGCCACAACCAGUUUUAAUGGGACAGUUUACAAUGGCAGUGUUUUCAAUAAAUAAUGCUGGAACAAUUGAAUGCCACAGUCAAGAGAUCCACAGCCAUACCAGGAGUUCAGUCAAAGAGAGAGGAGAAGGAUUCUAUGAGCAAGGGACAUCAAGAUCAUGAUGGGGAAACCUACAGAGACAACCAAACCAAACUAGUGGGAACUCAUGAAAUUUAGACCAACACCUGAGGAGCCUCCACAGAACUGGACUAGGCCCACUGCAUAAUCAAGUUGUGUAGCUUGAUCUGCUUAAGGGGCCCCCUGGCAGUAGGAUCAGGAUCCAUCCCUGGUGCAUGAGCUGGCUUUUUGGAGCCCACUACCUAUGGAGGGACACCUUGAACAGCCUUGAUGCAGGAGGAGGGGUUUGGACAUGCCUCUACUGAAUGUAACAGGCUCUGCUGACUCCCCAUGGGAGACCUUACCUUUUUGUAGGAGGGAAUGGGGCAUGGGUUGGGGGAAAGGCUGGAGGAGAGAAGAGGGGGAUCUGUAAUUGGUAUGUAAAAUGAAUAAAAAAAUUCUUAAUUAAAAAAGAAGGAGAAGGAGGAGGAGGAGGAGGAGGAGGAGGAGGAAUAGACCCACAUGCUUCAGGAAAGUGUUCUGAUGACAAACUUCGGACCAUAGAAAUUGAAUGAAGAAACAGUUUCUCCUUAACAUAAAACAGGCUACCAUGGAACUAGAAAAGAGAAGACAAGGGAAAGGUAAACUUCGAGAUCUCUUUGGAAGAAACAAGAAACAAAACGUUGAAAUUGAAGCAAAAAUUACAAGAAUCUUCCAUGAUCUAAUCAGGACUAUCCUGGUCCAUACAGUAAACACUGGGCAUUUUGAGGAAAAACAAAGAUUGUGAGCUUGGCACCAGUGGAAGUAGGUGUACCCAGGGCUAGGCUGAAGAGUCAACUAAGUAAAGGAAGGGCUAAUGUGUUACAGUGGUGUAGACAGAUUAAGGAAGCCCAGGUGACCUAAAGGGGCAAAGAGCAGGAAGAAUGAAAUUAGGUGCUGAUAGAAACUUGGAAGUCAUUGCUUAAAUUGAGUAGUAUAGAGCAGUCAGGUUGAGAUGAAAUAGAAACCAAAGGUUUUAAAGAUAAGGAGCUUACAAAAUGCUGAUAAGACGUGACAAAAUGAAAAGAAAUUUCUGACAUUAGCUGAUAACAAAAUGAAAAGAAAUUUCUGACAUUAGCAUUGAAGAUCAAGCAGGAAUAGCACUUUGGUCUAUAUAGUAAGGUGUUAUUGUGGGUAACCCUGACAUAUAGAAAACCUCUGAGUCUACCUACAUUUACAAUUUCCAGCUUGUUUAUGGCUUUCAGAUUGUCAUGGGUCUGGGGUCACUUAGAGAUUCACUAGCCUGACAAUGAAUAAAUUUUAAUAAAUAAGAGGCUUUUAAAAACAUUGGCCAGGACUGUAGCUACUGACGAGGUGUAUACUAAGACUCAUGCUCAGAGUAUAGCUCAGAAUUACAUUAGUCUUGAGCUUAUAAAGGCAAAACUCACAAGGCUACAUACUUCCUGCCUUCAUGCAAUUAGUUCAGUUUCAACAUUUUAAAUUGUUUCUUGUUUCUUCCAAAGAGAUCUUAAAGUUUACUUUCCCUCAUUUUCUGUCUCCCAGUUCCAUGAAGAGAGAUAAAGGGCAAAACUCUAAAGGCUAUGUACUCCCUGCCUACAUGUAAUCAAGCACACACACACUCAGGGCAACCAAGCUUUUUUACUGCAUGUUAUUUUACAUGAACAGCAGCCCCCAGCAUUCCAGGAAGUUAUCUGUCCUUGGGCAAGUAGUCCUUGCAGGUUAGAGGCAUUUUUGUUCAAUCUAUCAUAUUGUUGAUCUCUUAAGCACGGUAAUUUACACUUAAGACUUAAGACAUGUUAACCAUCACACAGACCAGGAAGAAAAAGAUGUAAGGAAAGAAGCCAAAUCCUAAACUAUCAGUAGGCACCAACUUAUGACAAAAUAAUACAGUUAUACACUGAAAAUUUUACACUACCAUCAACACGCGAUCUGCAAGUUCUUUCUAGAGAAAAGAAUAUAUCAUAAGAUUUAAGUAAAGUGCAUUUUUCUCCAGUCUCCAAUGUGUGUGUGUGUGUGUGUGUGUGUGUGUGUGUGUGUGUGUGUGUGUUAUUCAACUGAGCUAGCUGUUUUUAAUUUUCCCUUUGCAGGCUCCUAUGUGAAGGUCCAAAGUACAAAGAAGGGAAGUGGGCAGUACUGUUCCUCCCUCAACAGCAAUACUCUUUUCUUCUUUUAAGGCCCUGCUCCUCGGCUCUUCCAUAUUUAGUAACACCAUGGAAUCAUCCUGAGAUGCAUUAAUAAUGCUGGCAGGUUUAUAUAGCAGUGCCUGAAGGUACAAAAUAAAAGGGAUAGAGUGAGCAAGCAUUUUAGUCAGCCCACGGGAGACUUUUCAAACUUUUAUAUGAAAUUAUUUAGACAGCAUUUUCUAAUGUACGCCUGACUAUAGCAAAUGUUAAUUUCCAUUUUAUGAAACCUGUGGCUUGAUCUGCUUCUGGAGAAGGUAGCUGGCAUGGCUUGAGUUCACUUUGGCAUCUUUGGCUGGCUUACCAGCAAAUAGGGAGGGGAGAUAUUUGGCUUUAUUUUAAUAACGCACAUGCCUUUCAUGUAGUCUUGACGGUGUAGCAAGUCUUGGAGCUGCUAUACAAACCAUAUGUGUGCAAAGUUCAAGGAAAUUCAGAGGAGCUGGGUAAGUCCCAAGCCUGGAGUUAGAGCAGUAGUAUCCAGCACUCAGGUAUUCGGAACCCAGGAAGUAAGGCUCUGAUCCUCAAGCCUCCAACAUAUAGUGUGUUAUUUUAAACACAAAUAGUCUACAACUUGUGUUUUUCUUAAAAGGAAAUAGAAAUAAAUUAUUAUCUGUUGACUCAUAGAAUCAUGAAUAUUCUGAAAUCUCUAUGAUGAGAAAACAAAUUCUGUACUAAUGUUAAUAUUUGACACUAAAUCUAUUAGACACCAGAAGCUGAACUCUUCAUACAUACUCCAAAUGUCUUCUCCUGGCAUGUGGUUUAUUUUCAACUGCUUAAAUAGGUUAAACCCUUUGGGUAUGAGUACCGUGCCUCCAUGUAUCUAUGCAUGUGCACCACGAGAGUACAUAGUGUCUGUGAAAGUCAGGAGAGGGUGUCAGAUCUCCUGGAACAGAAAUGACAGGCAGUCGUAAGCUGCAACGUGAGUGCUAGAAACCAAAAUUUGUCCUUAGCAAGAGUGGCAGUUGUUCUUAACUACUGACCCAUCUUUUCAGCCCCUGAAACAGGCUAAAACCUUAUGCAUUCUUGUGCAGCUCAUGUUUAGAACAGUCAUGUUGGUGAGACUUUAUGGGUGUAGCUUCUGCCAUUUCAGGGAGACAUAAUCUCACAGCAAACUCCCUGAUCCUCUGGCUCUUACACUCUUUCUUCUCCUUCUUCUGCAGUGAUUCCUGUGCCUUAGCUGUAGGAAUUGUAUUAUACAUGUAUCCAUUGAGACUGGGUUCCACAACUCUGUACUUUGAUUGGUUGUGAUUUGCUGUAAUUGUCCCUGCCUAUUGGAAAGAGACAUUUCCUUGAUGAGGGGCGAGGAUUACAUUUAUCUGUGGGUAUAAGGACAAAUACUUAGAAUAUAGUUAUGAUUUAUGUUGGUUUAGUAAAGUGGUGACUGUAGAUUCUCCUCCAAAAUCCAUGACUUCACUAAUCCACAAGAUUUCCUGUACCAGGCACAAGUUCCCCUUGUUGAGCAGGUCUUAAAUCCCAGUAGAGAGCUGUUGGUUACCACCAAGGUAUGUGCACACUACUGCACCCUUAGGAUUUCUGUACCAGGCUGGCCAUUGUUGUAGUUCAUAGGCAGAAUAUCUGGGUAGGACUAUUAGUUGCUUCCAUCCUUUGGAAGCUUAUGUGAUGCCUUCUGGCACCAUUAAAGCUGGUCCGCAGGGAGGAGGCAUUCAGGUGUGUUCCAACUAGAGGGCCUCUGAGCCCUGUGUCUGAAGUGCAUAGAGUCUUCAACAAUAGACAUGCCUAAGUGGAUGGGAGAAAGCCCGUGAGACCUCAACUACACAAAAAAACUAGGGCGACUAAGAAAUGCUGAGAGUGGAAAAUACAGUUUCCCCCAAAGAAGAGCACAACCAUUGGACAGCCCUGAAAACAUACACACAAGUAACCAUUAUACAGACUGAGCAAGUUAUAUUUAGGAAUACAUAUGAAUAUACAUGCAUGCAUUUAACAACCAUUAAUAAGAAAAGAAGCCACGAAUUUGAAAGAGUACAAGGAGUAAUUUAUGGGAGGGUUUGGAGGUAGGGAAGGAAAGGGAGAAAGGAUAUAAUUAUAUUAAUCUCAAAAAUAAAAAACACAAACAAAAAGCUUAUGCAUUCUUUAUUGCUCAAAGUAAUAAAGCAGCAUCUCAUCAUUUCCUAAAUUUUGCAAUUUAUUAUAUUUAUGAGUUCAAUCUAAAUGAUGACUUUCGAGUAUGCUAUGACAUGUGGAUACUUUUUAUACAUAUAAAUAAUUAGCACCAGUUAUUGAAAUGAUCAUCUUUUUUAUACUGUUUGCCUAAACCACUAAUUAUAUAUGAAGUUGUAUUUAUGUAAUUAUUUAUAGGCUUGCUACUGGGUUGCUGUGAUUUUUAUUUGCUCUAAUAAAGUACAAUAUUUCAGCUCUGACUGAUUUAUAAUAAGCAUUGCUACAUAAUUAGGCAACCUCUCCUAUCUUAUUCAAAUUCUUCUUGGCUUUUCUUGACCACCUAAGCAUUUACAAACCAGUUUUUCAGGUUCAUAAUGAGCUUAACUAGGAUUUUGAAAAAAUUCAAAUUGUAAAUACAUGUAUGUGUGUGAAGAUAUUUUAAUAGGCAUCAUUAUAUAUGACUGUCAUCUCAUGUAUUUGAUUUCUUUAAUAUAUUUUAACAUUUUUAUUUUCUGAACUAGCACCAUGCAUUCAUUUUAUUAGGUUUAAUUCUUGAUGUUUUGUAAUUUUCAGAUGUUCUUAUGGCUGACAUCUUUAAAACUACAGCCCUUGGUUUUUGUUUUCUUGACAUAGGGUUGUAGUUAUAGUUUUCCUGCCUGGCCCACAGUCAGGACAAAUCUCUCUCACCUGCCAGUCCCACAGCCUUUCAAACCCAACCAAGUAAACACAGAGGCUUAUUUUGCUUACAAACUGUAUGGCCGUGGCAGGCUUCUUGCUAACUGUUCUUACAGCUUAAAUUAACCCAUUUCUAUUAAUCUAUACCUUGCCACGUGGCUCGUGGCUUACCGGUAUCUUCACAUGCUGUUUCUCAUCGUGGCAGCUGGCAGUGUCUCUCUGACUCAGCCUUCCACUUCCCAGCUUUAUUCUCCUCCUUGUCCCGCCUACACUUCCUGCCUAGCCAAUGGCCAAUCAGUGUUUUAUUUAUUAACUAAUUAGCAACACAUUUGCCAUACAGAACAUUCCACAGCACUUCCCCUUUUUUUUUUUUUUUCAAAAAGAAGGUUUUAACCUUAACAAAGUAAAAUUACAUACAAUUUGGGAAUUUGGGCGUUGCUUCUCUUACUACUUCCUGCUGGAGGGGGGCGCUGUAUCUUAUGGGGAAACAAAGAAAAUUUUAGGAUUAUGAAAUAGUCCAUGAGGGUGUAUCGUCUGAGCCAGCUGCCUUCAAACCAUUCUGGAUGUUGGAUCAUCUGGGCCAUGGUGUCAUCGGAGACCUUUCAGGGGGUCUUGGCUGGUCAAACCUGAUGUGUCUUAAUCUGGAACAAAUCCAUAGCCUCUGGCUUUCUGUGGAAACAAAAGCAGAGUCUCUUUUCCAAAGUAACAUAUCCUUAUAUCCAAAUUUUGAAGUCAAGGUACCUUUAAAAUAUACAUAUUGGCAUAACUCAACAGCUUUUACAAUCAAAUGUUUGUCUGCAGUUAAAAGUCCCAAAGACAACACAAUGCAGAUUCUCUGUGUAAUAUCCAUUUUUACGUGGCUUAUUUUUUAUACUACCUUUACUGUCUCUUUAAAGACUUUAUUUUUUUAAAACUAUGUAUUUAUUUCUAUAACUCUAUAUAUCAUCUUUUUUGUCUCUUUCAAGCCUACGUAUCUUUUACACACAUUGUAAACUAUUACAUCUGAAUCUGUCUUAUUGUGAAUCUAUUGCCUUAAACUGCAGCAGCUGUGGCUGCUGGAUCCACCCACCUCAGCUUCCCAACAUGGCCAUGGUUUACCGCCAGCUCUGGGAGCUAUCGGGGGUCUAUGCUUUUAGCCAAGCAGCGUGUAGCCCAGAAACCUCCCCUUUUGCUCUGCACCAGCAAAGGCUAAAUCCACUAUGCAGCUCAAAGUGCCACUUGCAAAGGCCUCAUUCCCGCCAUAGGCAGGUCGAGCACGCACGCUAGGAACCCACCAGUAGCUCAAACCAGCAGCUGCCGCUCAUUUGAGAGAGACAAUUAGGAACUGUUUUUAGCUCCGUUUUAGAAUCUUUUCUCAGGUUUUAGGUGGAAACUCUUGCCACCACGUUAGACGCCAUUUGUAGUUAUAGUUUUCCUGCCUGGCCCACAGUCAGGACAAAUCUCUCUCACCUGCCAGUCCCACAGCCUUUCAAACCCAACCAAGUAAACACAGAGGCUUAUUUUGCUUACAAACUGUAUGGCCGUGGCAGGCUUCUUGCUAACUGUUCUUACAGCUUAAAUUAACCCAUUUCUAUUAAUCUAUACCUUGCCACGUGGCUCGUGGCUUACCGGUAUCUUCACAUGCUGUUUCUCAUCGUGGCAGCUGGCAGUGUCUCUCUGACUCAGCCUUCCACUUCCCAGCUUUAUUCUCCUCCUUGUCCCGCCUACACUUCCUGCCUAGCCAAUGGCCAAUCAGUGUUUUAUUUAUUAACUAAUUAGCAACACAUUUGCCAUACAGAACAUUCCACAGCAUAGGGUCUCAUACAGCCUUAGCUGGCCUCAAACUCACAAGGUAGCCAAUCUAUUUUUGAGCCCCUGAACACCUCUACCUUCCAAGUUCUGAGAUUACAGGCAUAUGCUCGGCUAAAACUAUUGUCAUUUGAAUGUGAAAUGCCCCUUCCAGAUUGGUUUGCUCUUCAGCUGCUGACACUAUUUGAGGAUAAUUUUGGAACUUGUAGAGAUGGGACAUAGGAGGAAGAAAGUCACAGGUCUUUAAGGGAAUCUUGCCCCUGGUCUGCUCUCUCUCCUCCUUCUUUCCUCUCUCCGUCCCUCUCCCCCUCUCUUCCUUCUUCUCUCUCUCCUUCCCUCAUCUCCUUCCUACUUUCCAUAAACUGAAGUUCUUCUGCCACAUGCUAUUCAACCAAAACACAUGUUUUACACACACAUGCAUUGUUAGGAUUUAGCAGUGGCAGGUUGGGGCCAAGGUAUGCUGCAAAGAGAUCACACCUCACAACAGAUCUCACAUAAGAGGAUUAUUGGGGAGGAGGAGUGAAAGGUUGUCUUAGAGUGGGGACAUGAGAGACACAGAGAGAGUCAGACAGACAGAUAGACCGAAAGAUAGAAAAAACAAGAGAGCCAGAGAGUGAUCAGUGAUAGCAGGGACCUUUUAAAGGGUUGGCGACUUUUGAUUACAUAGCUGCUGAGUCUCUGAGGGCACACUGCGGGAACACCUGGUUUCUAACACAUGUAACACACACACACAGAGAUACACACACCACACACACACAUGCACCACACACACAGAUACACACAACACAUAUACACACACAUACUACACACAUACAUAUAUACACAUACAUAUCACACACAUACUACACACACACAUAUAUACACUCACAUACACAUACCACACACACACACAUGCACACACAUAUAUAUACACACACAACAUACACAUACACACCACACCUCCCUCACACACACACUGUAGGUCUAUGCAUGUUUUCUUAUUUUAUCUUUCUCAUUUCUUUAUCUAUGUAUUCUUCACAAAUAAUCAUAAAUAUGUAAAUCAUGAAAGUCUUAGUGACCCGGUUAUUGAAUCCAUGAUACUUUGUAGGGUAGAUAUGAUGUAAUUUAUCUCUACCCUUACUGGAGAGCUAAUUCUAACUCUUGUGAAGAAAGCUGUGAAGAAAAAUCCUUUGUGGGAUCUUCCUUGCCCCUUUAUUGUUUAUCUGAGCAUAGGCAGCACAUCUAAAAGUGGUGUCUUUAAUCAGGCUUUCUAAAUUUCAAAGAAAAUACCUAGGUCUGAGAAAUUCAGCAGUUUUUGUGGCCUCUGGGUAGGUGGCUUGGUGGAGAUCCAAAACCAGUCACCUUCUCAGACUUGCUGGUCUGCCAUCUGGUAACAUCCAUAGCCUUGUUUGUUCCCUGUGACCAGUUUUCAUUCUGCCCAGUCAAUCUCACCCGGCCUGUAUUCAAGGCAGGCCACUAAGCAGGGGCCCAGCAGAGUUACCGAGACUUGAAGAUGCUCCCCUGGUUCUGGGACCACUUCCUGGGCAGUAAAGUCAGCCACUCUGUGGCUGAUAUAGAAGGGCUUGGCUAGCUCAACAAAUCCCUAUCCAAAGCCAACAAUAUUCAACACCCGCUAGGAGUACUUGUACCGGUCUUUUCGAUGUGGGAAUGGGGAUUCCAAGGAUGGCUAAAAUGUGGUCAUAGGAAAACUCCUCUUUCCUUCCUCUAGGUUGGAGCCUAGGUAUGUGACCUAAGGGAAGCACAACUGAGCCUUGGCAGCUGAGACUCUCUGUUCCCCAGGGCUUGCAAGAUUUCUGAAAGGCUUUCUGCUUCCUGUCUACAUUCCUUCCCAGUGGUCAAAGCUAUGAGGUUAUUUACAUCCUGGAGCAAGGUGUUUUGUGGGUAUUUUUUUUUUUUGUCUAAAUUCCAAUAAAUAGAUCUGCACUCAGGGCUCCAUCAGACAAUGCUGGUGAGCUUUUGAAACCCUGUAAGAACAGAGCCCAGGCUAGUUGACCAGUAUAUCAACCCUCUGUGGUGGUCUAUUCAAAGGCAAAUAUGAUUGACUUGGGCAAAUGGAAGGCAGAAGAAAGCAUCUUUCAGAUCCAGGACCAUAUAUAUCUUCCUUUUCGAGGCAACAAGCUUAGAAAGAUACUUCAGUACUGGGGGUAGAUGAUUUCCACUCAUUUGCUGACUUCCCUGAAAUCCUGUACUGGCUGGGAGUUAAGUGUCAGGCUUCAGGACAGGGAGUGAGGGAGUAUUCCAUGGAGAGAAGCAGGGGACAAGAAUUCUUGCCUCCUUCAACUGGUUGAUGUGUUUGACAAUCCCUUAUCCGGCCGCCUGGUUCUUGUGGUAUUGUUUGACCGGUACUGGUGUUGCAGAACUUAAUAACUAAACUAUGAUGAAUGGCCAAUGUGCUGCUAAGCCUGGUUGUUUCUCCUGGGUCCACACAUCCGGGGAACUUGCUCUGAGUUCCUGUAGGUAGCCUGAGGAUAAUUCUGCCUUCCUGGUGGCCAAGUCCUUGAAUAAGAGGUACUCCUCAGAUAGAGAACAAAUGGUCAGAAUAUUGGAAAGAACAUGGCCGGAGUCCACAGUUAGACUAGCCAAGUUCCCCCUGAAGAGAUGGUAGCUCUGAGUUUUUGUAAUAAGUCCUUUCCAAUCAAUGGGUGUGGGCAGUGUGGCAUAAUCAGAAAAGAAUGAUUCCCAGUGCCUUGUACUAGGUCUGUGGUCCAUUAGGUUGUCUAUGGAAAGUAUGUGGUUUGGCCUGUUGCUCCUUGGACUGCUGUCUUCCUGGAGAUUAGGAAUCUAAGGGGAUCUGUCAAGAUAGAGUGGGCUGCUCUAGUGUCAAUGAAAAAGUCAACAGUUUUGUUCCCUACUCUUGCUGUCAUCCUGAGCUCCUAGGGACUCAAUCUUAAGGAGCCCAGGCCCCAUCAAUUUUCAGAUAGCUGGAGGAUAGGGUGGUUGUCCUCUUCUUCUUUUCUGCUAGGGCAGUUGUUCUUACGAUGACCCUUCUGUUUACAACAGGCACAUUGUUUCUUUUCCAGACAUUUUCUUUCCCUUUCUCCUAAUCUAUUUUCUCUAUUUCCUCUCUUGUCUGUUUCCCUAAGGGCAGCGAUUACCACUCAGGGAGAGUUUCUUUCUCUGUCUGUCUUUGGCUGAAUCUUGGCUAUUCUAACCUUCCUGAACAAUUUCCAAAAGUUGAGACCUAUUCAUCCUUUCAUAUCUCUCUAAUUUCUGGGGUUUUCUUCUUAUGUCUGGGGCUGAGUGCAUGGCAAAGGCCACAUUAGUGGAUCUUUGGUUUCUAAGGGCAUCUGAGUCUAUGGGAAGAAAUAUCUGGUAUGACUCACAGAGCAUUUCCGGACAUCCCAUGGGCUACUCAUCAGACCUGUGAUUUACUGAUUUACCUUGGACCAGUUGGUGCGGGCCAUACGUGGGCUGCAAAGAGGGUGCUAAGAGGAAGUUAGACAAAUAGAGCUUAAGCUUUAAGCUGUUUAGGGAGAGAGUGGAUGCAAAUGGUGACAGAGGAAGUUAGCUUAAGCUGUUUAUGCAGAGAAUAGAUACAAAGGAUGGCUGAGAGGAAGUUAGCUUGGGUUGUUUGUAUGGAGAUUAGAGACGAAUGGUGAGGAAGGAAGUUAGCUCAGGUUAUUUAUGCUAAAGUAAGAAACUAAAAACAGGAGAUGAUGUUAGUGCACAAACAAUUUGUAAAUAGGGUGACCUUUAAAAUGAUUGGUUGGUUCCUUCACCCCCUCCUAGGGUUCUCAGAUUUUCUGGUAUAAAAGAGACUUACUGCCUAACAAUAAACGAGUUCUUGCUUGACUUGA